rnacentral:rRNA from 1 species
ACUCAAAGGAAUUGACGGGGGCUCACACAAGCGGUGGAGCAUGUGGCUCAAUUCGAAGCAACGCGAAGAACCUUAUCCUGGGCUUGACAUGUACGGAUUAGCUCCUGGAAACAGGAGUAAGGCCUUCGGGUACAACGUACACAGGUGCUGCAUGGCUGUCGUCAGCUCGUGCUGUGAAGUGUCGGGUUAAGUCCCUUAACGAGCGAAACCCCUAUCGCUAGUUGCUACCAGGUAAUGCUGAGGACUCUAGUGAGACUGCCGGUGUCAAACCGGAGGAAGGUGGGGAUGACGUCAAGUCCUCAUGGCCUUUAUGCCCAGGGCUGCACACGUGCUACAAUGGCGUAAACAAAGCGACGCGAGACCGCAAGGUGGAGCAAAUCGCAUAAAGUACGCCCCAGUUCAGAUUGAGGUCUGCAACCCGACCUCAUGAAGUUGGAAUCGCUAGUAAUCGCGGAUCAGCUACGCCGCGGUGAAUAUGUUCCUGAGCCUUGUACACACCGCCCGU